rfam:Brugia malayi, FR3, WGS project CAPY01000000 data, contig: ctg1511139m
CCAACGGCCCUCUUUAGGGCCACAAAUUAAUGGGUUAUGCUCAUGU